UUUUUUUUUUUUUUUUUUUUUUUUUUUUUUUUUUUAAACUUUCAUCUUCCUCCUCUUUUAUUUGCUGACGACAAUUUCAUUUCAACCACAAACAAACCAGCGUGGUCGUCCACUUUCCGGCAAUAAUUCACCCUUUCCCCUCUCAUUCUCCAAGAAAUUGAGAGAGUUGUGUUAAUAGGGGCUUUUUGUUGGAAACCCUAGAUUAUACAGAGUAACUCAGCAGAAUCUGACUCAUCGACCGAUGGAAAUCUUCGUCAAGACCAACGAGGGACUAACUUCUUGAUUGAAUUGAUGAACCUGCCAUAAAUAGAGCUGGUGGAAAAGCGAGUAAUAAAGGUGCCGAGUCAGCACUAACAGCCAUGUGAUGUGACUGUCUGGAAUAGGACAAAGAGCAAAUGUGAUCCUCUCAUCAGCCUAGUUGCUACGUAUAAAGCCUCUUCAGAAUAAGUAGCUGCGUCUUGUGAUGUGACAGUUGCCAUGCUUGCUGAUCCUGAUAGUGCAGUGCCAACUUUUCAACCAUCAAAGAUAGAUUGCUGGGAAGUGGUCAACUUCUCUCCCAUUGUGAUACUAGGAGCGUUGUCAGGGAUUUGGAAAAAUGCGCUAACAUGAAAGGCAUUCCUGAUAUCACAGCACCAAGAGUGAGUGUCUUAGCUGCAUACUCUGAAGCAGUAAGUCCAACAGAAGAACCAUGCUGGCGUUCUCAAGACUCUGCACCCAAUAUGGAGCCCUGCCGCAAUAAGAUCUGCUAUAAUGACUACUGGUAACUAACCCUACAACCCUUCUUCUGAUCCACUUAUGAUUCGAAUGAAGUCAUUAACAUAUGAAACAUAAAUUAUUAGCCUAUAUAAAGGGAAAAAGAAGGCGAUGAGAAACGAAUGUCUCAAGAAGAAAUGCUCUUGGAAGCUGCCCAAAUAUAUUCUAUCUUUUUAUUCUUUCUUAAAUAAGGUGAUGAAUGGACUUAAAUACUUAAUGGUGGGAAAGGAGCUUGUGAUAUUCGCUUCUUUAUCAUUGAUACAUUGCAGAAUCAUGAAUUUGAGGCACUUGGAGCGUUUAUUAUCAAGGGAGAAGGAAUGAGUACAGAACUAUUGUGCAUUAGCUAUCUAUUCUGGCCUAAAAAUCAGUUACCAUCCGAAAUGGCAAGUUUUUCUUCACUUUUAGCUAUGAUUACUGGGCCCCUUUGAUCAUUUUACUCAUUUUGCGAGAGUAUGUGCCUAUCGAAUUCUGCAAUCUAUGUUAAGUCAUCCAACCUAAGCAGAGCUAAUUAGUGUUAUUUAUCACUAAUAUUAUCUAUUGUUUAGAGGGAGGCCAGGGAUUUUAUAAUCUCUGCAAGCAUGAAUGCAUGAUGCUUGAGUGUCACGGUACUUAAUUUUCUCAAUGGCUCAAGAACACUACAGAUAUCGUAACUAAGUUUUGUUGUUUUGAUGGUUUUCUAUCACAGCACUUUAAAGCCAUUUUGAGCAAGUAUUCUUGCUUGAUUAAUCGGUCAGUCUCCAGCUGAAAUUUUUAUUAUAAAGUCAAGCUUAUCUUUCAAGGCACACUUGACAUCCUUCACAAUUCCUGGAGCAAUUAUACCAGUAAUGAGUUGUAGAAAUAUCAUUCCAAAUGAAUAUAUAACUGAUUUUGAUAGGAAACUCCAGUUUCAAGUCAAUAUACACUAGGAUACAGUACAAUGUUGGUUUUUGAUAGGAGUCUCAUUUUGUGGGAUAAAAAAGAAGAUGCCCAAGUGACCAAGUUUGCUCUUAAAAUUGGCAUUAAGGACCUUACUGAGCUCUUAAGUUCCCAUGGAAAAGUGGAGGGUUACUUUUAUGAAGGAAGAUGAAUGCAGAGCAUAGUUCGAUUACAAUACAAACUUGAGUUUGCCAUUGCAGAGGGAGAUCAAAGGGAAUAUCUAUCAAGGUUAAUAUUUUUCUUCUUGCAUGUUUCAUUUUCUAUUUUUCUAUUUCUAACCUGGUAUAUUCUAUUGUUCGUCACUGUUAUAGCAAAAUAAUCAAAUAGAUUCUCAUGUGGCCAGUGACAUGCAUGCUGCAUUGAACUUGGAUGAUGGAUUAUUGGAUAUGAUUUUGUUGAAACGGCUGUCACUUAGAGUCAGAGUAUCCCAAAACAGAAUUAUAUACGGCUAUCCCUAUUGAUCUCGACAAUAGUUAUAUGAUAAUUAGCAUUUAACACUAUAAGUUAUAUUCUUUGGGGCCAUUGACAGGUCUGAUGUAGGAAUCCAUGGAGGAGGAUAAAUCUGAAUGACUGAACCACCCAACAGAUGUAUGCAGCAUCAUAAACAAUCUAAGAAGAGACAAUUAUUGAAUCUGGUAUGAGAUUGAGGAUCACCUAGGAUCUGACCUCUAUCAAGAGCAAUGUUAGCCAUUCACCCCUUGGCAAGCUCUGUUAAGGCAUGACUUCUCUAUCUUGGUAGUAAACACUCUCAAAUCCUCUCUAAAUAAUGCCGAAGGAUGCUGCAGAACAUCUCCCUAGCUUACUAGAAGGAGCGGCAAGUAUAACUCCAACUCUAAGCCGGAACUUCCCUCCAUUUGGCUUAAUUCUGAUGGACCGUUGGGUAAUACACUUCAUUUUCUGAUUAUUCGAUGUAUUCAGAAUAGUUAAUAAGUUCCAGAUUAAUAUACUCCUUCCGUUUCAUAAUGA